rnacentral:tRNA from 1 species
GCCCAUAUAGCUCAGUUGGUAGAGCGUCGCCUUGGUAAGGCGGAGGUUCACCGGUUCAAUCCCGGUUAUGGGCUCCA